GGAGGAAAAGAAACCAACAGGGAUUGCCUUAGUAACGGCGAGUGAAGCGGCAAAAGCUCAAAUUUGAAAUCUGGCACCUUCGGUGUCCGAGUUGUAAUUUGAAGAAGGUAACUUUGGAGUUGGCUCUUGUCUAUGUUCCUUGGAACAGGACGUCACAGAGGGUGAGAAUCCCGUGCGAUGAGAUGCCCAAUUCUAUGUAAAGUGCUUUCGAAGAGUCGAGUUGUUUGGGAAUGCAGCUCUAAGUGGGUGGUAAAUUCCAUCUAAAGCUAAAUAUUGGCGAGAGACCGAUAGCGAACAAGUACAGUGAUGGAAAGAUGAAAAGAACUUUGAAAAGAGAGUGAAAAAGUACGUGAAAUUGUUGAAAGGGAAGGGCUUGAGAUCAGACUUGGUAUUUUGCGAUCCUUUCCUUCUUGGUUGGGUUCCUCGCAGCUUACUGGGCCAGCAUCGGUUUGGAUGGUAGGAUAAUGACUAAGGAAUGUGGCUCUACUUCGGUGGAGUGUUAUAGCCUUGGUUGAUACUGCCUGUCUAGACCGAGGACUGCGUCUUUUGACUAGGAUGUUGGCAUAAUGAUCUUAAGCCACCCGUCUUGAA
rnacentral:rRNA from 1 species